rnacentral:rRNA from 1 species
CGCGUAGGUGGUUCUUCAAGUCAGAUGUUAAAUCUCCCGGCUUAACUGGGAGCUGUCAUCUGAUACUGCUGGACUUGAGGGCGGUAGAGGGAGGUGGAAUUCCCGGUGUAGUGGUGAAAUGCGUAGAUAUCGGGAGGAACACCAGUGGCGAAAGCGGCCUCCUAGGCCGUUCCUGACACUGAGGCGCGAAAGCGUGGGGAGCGAACAGGAUCAGAUACCCUGGUAGUCCACGCCCUAAACUGUGGAAACUAGGUACAGGGAGUAUCGACCCUUCCUGCGCCGUAGCUAACGCGUUAAGUUUCCCGCCUGGGGACUACGGUCGCAAGACUAA